rnacentral:rRNA from 1 species
GACGAACGCUGGCGGCGUGCUUAACACAUGCAAGUCGAGCGGAAAGGCCACUUCGGUGGUACUCGAGCGGCGAACGGGUGAGUAACACGUGAGUAAUCUGCCCCUGGCUUUGGGAUAGCCACCGGAAACGGUGAUUAAUACCGGAUAUGACCAGCUUCCGCAUGGUGGUUGGUGGAAAGUUUUUCGGCCAGGGAUGUGCUCGCGGCCUAUCAGCUUGAUGGUGGGGUAAUGGCUCACCAUGGCUUCGACGGGUAGCCGGCCUGAGAGGGUGACCGGUCACCCUGGGACUGAGACAGGGCCCAGACUCCUACGGGAGGCAGCAGUGGGGAAUAUUGGACAAUGGGCGGAAGCCUGGUCCAGCAACGCCGCGUGAGGGAUGACGGCCUUCGGGUUGUAAACCUCUUUCGCCUGUGACGAAGCGCAAGUGACGGUAACAGGUAAAGAAGCACCGGCCAACUACGUGCCAGCCGCCGCGGUAAAAC